rnacentral:rRNA from 1 species
GACGAACGCUGGCGGCGUGCUUAACACAUGCAAGUCGAGCGGAAAGGCCCCUUCGGGGGUACUCGAGCGGCGAACGGGUGAGUAACACGUGAGUAAUCUGCCCUGCACUUGGGGAUAACCACCGGAAACGGUGGCUAAUACCCGAUAUGACGCCUGCCCGCAUGGGUGGGUGUGGAAAGUUUUUUCGGUGCAGGAUGUGCUCGCGGCCUAUCAGCUUGUUGGUGGGGUAAUGGCCUACCAAGGCUUCGACGGGUAGCCGGCCUGAGAGGGUGACCGGCCACACUGGGACUGAGACACGGCCCAGACUCCUACGGGAGGCAGCAGUGGGGAAUAUUGGACAAUGGGCGGAAGCCUGAUCCAGCAACGCCGCGUGAGGGAUGACGGCCUUCGGGUUGUAAACCUCUUUCACCGAUGACGAAGCGCAAGUGACGGUAGUCGGAGAAGAAGCACCGGCCAACUACGUGCCAGCCGCCGCGGUAAGAC